GGUUAAGUUAACAAGGGCGCAUGGUGAAUGCCUUGGCACUAGGAGCCGAUGAAGGACGGGACUAACACCGAUAUGCUUCGGGGAGCUGUACGUAAGCUAUGAUCCGGAGAUUUCCGAAUGGGGCAACCCAGCAGUUUUAAUCAACUGUUACCACUAGAUGAAUUCAUAGUCUAGUUGGAGGUAAACGCUGUGAACUGAAACAUCUCAUUAGCAGCAGGAAUAUAAAGAAAUUUCGAUUCCCUAAGUAGCGGCGAGCGAACGGGGAACAGCCCAAACCAAAGUGCUUGCACUUUGGGGUUGUAGGACUGAACAUUUGAGUUACCAAAGAACUUGAUAGUCGAAGGAUUUGGGAAAAUCCGCCAUAGAUGGUGAUAGCCCAGUAGAUUAAAUCAAAUUCUCUCAGUUCAGGAUCCUGAGUACGGCGGAACACGUGAAAUUCCGUCGGAAUCCGGGAGGACCAUCUCCCAAGGCUAAAUACUACCUAGUGACCGAUAGUGAACCAGUACCGUGAGGGAAAGGUGAAAAGCACCCCGGGAGGGGAGUGAAAUAGUUCCUGAAACCAUGUGCCUACAAUAAGUCAGAGCGCGUUAAUGCGUGAUGGCGUGCCUUUUGUAGAAUGAACCGGCGAGUUAUGAUCCCGUGCAAGGUUAAGACUAAAAAGUCGGAGCCGUAGCGAAAGCGAGUCUGAAAUGGGCGUUUUGAGUACGAGGUUAUAGACCCGAAACCAGGUGACCUAUCCAUGUCCAGGUUGAAGGUGCGGUAAAACGCACUGGAGGACCGAACCCGUGUAAGUUGAAAAUUGCUGGGAUGAGGUGUGGAUAGCGGUGAAAUUCCAAACGAACUUGGAGAUAGCUGGUUCUCUCCGAAAUAGCUUUAGGGCUAGCCUCGGAAUUAGGAUCAUGGAGGUAGAGCACUAUUUGGACUAGGGGCCCGUCUUGGGUUACUGAAUUCAGAUAAACUCCGAAUGCCAUUGAUUCAUAUCCGGGAGUCAGACGAUGAGUGAUAAGAUCCACCGUCGAAAGGGGAACAGCCCAGACCAUCAGUUAAGGUCCCUAAAUGUAUGCUAAGUGGAAAAGGAUGUGGAGUUGCAUAGACAACUAGGAUGUUGGCUCAGAAGCAGCCACCAUUUAAAGAGUGCGUAAUAGCUCACUAGUCAAGUGAUCCUGCGCCGAAAAUGUACCGGGGCUAAGCAUACUACCGAAACCAUGGAUGCGACCAUUAGGUCGCGUGAUAGGAGAGCGUUCUAAGGGCGGUGAAGCAAGAUCGUGAGGACUUGUGGAGCGCUUAGAAGUGAGAAUGCCGGUAUGAGUAGCGAAAGAUAGGUGAGAAUCCUAUCCACCGAAUGACUAAGGUUUCCUGGGGAAGGCUCGUCCUCCCAGGGUUAGUCGGGACCUAAGUCGAGGCCGAGAGGCGUAGACGAUGGAUAACAGGUUGAGAUUCCUGUACUAGUUAAGUGCGUUUGAGCAAUGGAGGGACGCAGGAGGCUAAGAUGUGCAUUCUGUUGGAUUAGAAUGUCCAAGCAGUAAGUCUUGUGAAGAGUCAAAUGCUUUUCACUUUAAGGACAAGCUGUGAUGGGGAGCGAAAUUUAGUAGCGAAGCGUCUGAUGUCACACUGCCGAGAAAAGCUUCUAGUGAGUACUUAACUACCCGUACCGCAAACCGACACAGGUAGUCGAGGAGAGAAUCCUAAGGUGAGCGAGUGAACUCUCGUUAAGGAACUCGGCAAAAUGACCCCGUAACUUCGGGAGAAGGGGUGCUGAUCGCAAGAUCAGCCGCAGUGAAUAGGCCCAGGCGACUGUUUAUCAAAAACACAGGUCUCUGCAAAAUCGUAAGAUGACGUAUAGGGGCUGACGCCUGCCCGGUGCUGGAAGGUUAAAAGGAUGGGUUAGCUUCGGCGAAGCUCAGAAUUGAAGCCCCAGUAAACGGCGGCCGUAACUAUAACGGUCCUAAGGUAGCGAAAUUCCUUGUCGGGUAAGUUCCGACCCGCACGAAAGGCGUAACGAUCUGGGCACUGUCUCAACGAGAGACUCGGUGAAAUUAUAUUGUCCGUGAAGAUGCGGACUACCCGCGACAGGACGGAAAGACCCCAUGGAGCUUUACUGUAGCUUGAUAUUGAGUGUUUGUACAGCUUGUACAGGAUAGGUAGGAGCCAUAGAAACCGGAACGCUAGUUUCGGUGGAGGCGUUGGUGGGAUACUACCCUCGCUGUAUGACCACUCUAACCCGCACCACUAAUCGUGGUGGGAGACAGUGUCAGGUGGGCAGUUUGACUGGGGCGGUCGCCUCCUAAAAAGUAACGGAGGCGCCCAAAGGUUCCCUCAGAAUGGUUGGAAAUCAUUCGCAGAGUGUAAAGGCACAAGGGAGCUUGACUGCGAGACAGACAGGUCGAGCAGGGACGAAAGUCGGGCUUAGUGAUCCGGUGGUACCGUAUGGAAGGGCCAUCGCUCAACGGAUAAAAGCUACCCUGGGGAUAACAGGCUUAUCUCCCCCAAGAGUCCACAUCGACGGGGAGGUUUGGCACCUCGAUGUCGGCUCAUCGCAUCCUGGGGCUGUAGUCGGUCCCAAGGGUUGGGCUGUUCGCCCAUUAAAGCGGUACGCGAGCUGGGUUCAGAACGUCGUGAGACAGUUCGGUCCCUAUCCGUCGCGGGCGUAGGAAAUUUGAGAGGACCUGUCCUUAGUACGAGAGGACCGGGAUGGACAUACCUCUGGUGUACCAGUUGUGCCGCCAGGCGCAUCGCUGGGUAGCUACGUAUGGAUGUGAUAAACGCUGAAAGCAUCUAAGUGUGAAACACACCUCGAGAUGAGAUUUCCCAUUCCUUUAUGGAAGUAAGACCCCUGAAAGAUGAUCAGGUAGAUAGGUUAGAAGUGGCAGUGCGGUGACGCAUGAAGCGGACUAAUACUAAUCGGUCGAGGACUUAACCAA
rnacentral:rRNA from 2 species